CCUCCAUCUACACCGGUAGCUGGAGAGGUGUCAUUUAGGUGCAGGCCCACGGUACAGUUGGGGGUCAAUCAGCACGCCGACUUAAUUAAAAUCUCCGUUCAUCAGAGUAUUCCCGUUGAGAGUGGGACUCGCGUGCAAAUCCAGAGGCACAGGAGUCUUUCUGCCUCCGACUUGGGAAUUCCAGCCCCAGCCCGAAGGCCUGGGGACUCCGGCCGGUUACCGCGAUUCUCCCGUCUGUGACCAUCAGAGGGUGAAACUGAAGAUCUGCCAUCUAUCUGCUCUGUGGGAUACGGCAUGAAUGACACCAUAAGCUCAGGGCUGAGUGCUUCCAGUGUGAAGAGAAAGUAAGUCUCACUAAUGUUGCCAAACAACUGAAAAAUGGCUACUGUUUAGAGAGAAGAUGCUCAAGGCAGAGGAGGAGAUAUGGCACCCAAACCCAAAUCUUUUGAUGAUGCCAAACCCAGCCUGUGUUACUGAACCACAGUUGUUUUGACUGGGUGACCAGGAGUCUCAUAAAAUGAAGCCUUUGUACCAGGUCCACAUGAACAUGACUUGAAGCUCACCAGAGAAUGGAAGCAAAAUCACUUGCCUUUUCCCAGGGAUGUGAGAAACUGUUGAAGAGGAAGCACACACCAGGAAAAAGUGGCGCCCUGCCACUUCUGAAUGUUUUCUAAGUAGCACAAAGGUGACACCACCACUCUUUCUCCCUAACCUUCUGUGAUUUGCUGUGAUGAACAAAUGCAACAAGUUUAUGCAAAACUGCA